rnacentral:rRNA from 1 species
UACGUAGGGGGCGAGCGUUGUCCGGAGUUACUGGGCGUAAAGCGCUUGUAGGCGGUCCACCAAGUUUGGGGUGACAGUUGCCGACUUAAUCGGCAAAGUGCCUCAAAGACUGGCGGACUCGAGGGCCACAGAGGGACAUGGAACUCCAGGUGUAGUGGUGAAGUGCGUAGAUAUCUGGAAGAACACCAAAGGCGAAGGCAGUGUCCUGGGUAGUCGCUGACGCUGAGAGGCGAAAGCCAGGGGAGCGAACGGG